AGCCCCUGCACCUUUCCUGGUCACAGGUUCCUGUUUCCCCUUGAUGAGCACCCUCACGUAUUGUAUAAACGUUUUUGUGUUUUAGUGUCAAAAACACGAGAACUUCUAUAAGAGUGCUCAUUAAAGUGAAAAGGGACACAGGUGAGGGUGACUGGGACAUGUGACUAGGAAACACGCCGGGGCUGAUGGGUAAUGUAGUUCAAGCACCAGAUGAUUCAGCGUAACCAUGACAAUCUUCGGUGUUUGUUUUUGUUUUUGUUUUUCUUUGGUUUUCUUAAACCGAAACUUAUGUUUAUAUCUGUUUACCUUUCAUGCAGCGUUCUCUAGUAAAGCUGAAGGACGAAGUGAAACCUGAGCGAUGUUUUUUACACCAUUCUAUUUGCACUGGAUAAGGGCAUCUGCCAAAUGCCAUAAAUCUAGAAUGGCCAUCAUUAAAGGAUUAGUGGUACAACAAUUCUGGACCAUUCAGAGAAGAUAAGGUAGCAGGUGAACCAGAACAUCUCUGACCUUGUUUUGGAACCAGGCUUCAGUCUCCUCUUGACUCUUCUGU